rnacentral:rRNA from 1 species
CACUCCUGCGGGAGGCAGCAGUGGGGAAUUUUGGACAAUGGGCGAAAGCCUGAUCCAGCAAUGCCGCGUGAGUGAAGAAGGCCUUCGGGUUGUAAAGCUCUUUUGUCGGGGAAGAAACGGUGAAAGCUAAUAUCUUUUGCUAAUGACGGUACCUGAAGAAUAAGCACCGGCUAACUACGUGCCAGCAGCCGCGGUAAUACGUAGGGUGCAAGCGUUAAUCGGAAUUACUGGGCGUAAAGCGUGCGCAGGCGGUUUUGUAAGUCUGAUGUGAAAUCCCCGGGCUCAACCUGGGAAUUGCAUUGGAGACUGCAAGGCUAGAAUCUGGCAGAGGGGGGUAGAAUUCCACGUGUAGCAGUGAAAUGCGUAGAUAUGUGGAGGAACACCGAUGGCGAAGGCAGCCCCCUGGGUCAAGAUUGACGCUCAUGCACGAAAGCGUGGGGAGCAAACAGGAUUAGAAACCCGAGUAGUCCCAU